GAGGACACUGUGCACCAUGAUCUGGAUUCUUCUUUUCCUUGUUCUCCUCUUUCACUGCAAAGGUUCCCUCUCCCAGCCUGUGCUGACUCAACCACCCACCUUCUCUGCAUCUCCUGGAUCAACAGCCAGACUCACCUGCACUCUGAGCAGUGACAUAAUUGUUAGUAAUUACAGAAUAUACUGGUACCAGCAGAAACCAGGAAGUCCACCACGGUUUCUCCUGAGCUUCUAUACAGACUCAAGUAAAGAACAGGGCUCUGGAGUCCCAAGUUACUUCUCUGGAUCAAAAGAUUCUUCAGCCAAUGCAGGACUUCUGCUCAUCUCGGGGGUGCAGGCUGAGGAUGAGGCUGACUAUUACUGUACCCUAUGGCACACUAGCACUAAAACUUACACUGUGAUCCAGAUCUGGAGGGAAGUGAGAGUAAAACCUCUUCUGUGUCUCUGCCAGGAACCAAAGCUAACUCUGGGUGUCAUCUAUGUCACUUCCUCAGACACCAGUUCUUUUUCAUAA